rnacentral:rRNA from 1 species
AUUGAACGCUGGCGGCAUGCCUUACACAUGCAAGUCGAACGGCAGCGGGGGAGAAGCUUGCUUUUCCUGCCGGCGAGUGGCGAACGGGUGAGUAAUACAUCGGAACGUGCCCUGUAGUGGGGGAUAACUAGCCGAAAGAUUAGCUAAUACCGCAUACGACCUGAGGGUGAAAGUGGGGGACCGCAAGGCCUCAUGCUAUAGGAGCGGCCGAUGUCUGAUUAGCUAGUUGGUGGGGUAAAGGCCUACCAAGGCGACGAUCAGGAGCGGGUCUGAGAGGACGAUCAGCGACACUGGGACUGAGACACGGCCCAGACUCCUACGGGAGGCAGCAGUGGGGAAUCUUGGACAGUGGGCGAAAGCCUGAUCCAGCAAUGCCGCGUGUGUGAAGAAGGCCUUCGGGUUGUAAAGCACUUUUGUCCGGAAAGAAAUGGCUCUGGUUAAUACCUGGGGUCGAUGACGGUACCGGAAGAAUAAGGACCGGCUAACUACGUGCCAGCCGCCGCCGUAACAC